ensembl:lncRNA
AAGCUGAAUAAAAUGAAUUAAAUAUGUGGACACUACCAAGCUGAUGAGCAAUGUCCACAUAUUUAAUUCAUUUUAUUCAGCUUCUCAAACCUGUAGCUUUCGCUGUUGUAUACAGGGUUUGGCUUAUUAGUUGUUAGUAUAGGCUUGAAUCAGACUACUUUAAACAAUCUUCCACCUCACAUCAUAACUGACUGAGGUGCCUCUUCCUAUUAAUAGUAUGUCAUUAUUAAUGUUAUCAUUGUAUUGUUUUUCCUUUUUUAUAACAGCAAUAGUAUAUCACAAUACACUACUUUACUACUAAUAUACAAUAGUAUAUUAGUUUAUAUUUUAUUAUGUAUCCAUCACGGGUCUGUGUGAACCUGCAGCUUCACACCUUCCCAAGCUGGAGACAUUUUCCUUGGCUGAACAAUGACACAGCCUUAAUAUGCCUUAUGCAUCUCUCUUUUUUAUUUGAUAUAUUUUGUGUGAAUUAUCUGGUUUCACGCAUUCUAUUCAUUCAGCUUGGUUGUCUUCCCAAUUUUGUUUCAUUGCUUUAAUUUAAGUUAACCUUAAUUUAACCUUUUGUUUAUUCCACUUCAUUCCUCUUU